AAGACCUUGCGCUUUUGGAGCGGCCGAUGCCUGAUUAGCUUGUUGGUAAGGUAAAAGCUUACCAAGGCUUCGAUCAGUAGCUGGUCUGAGAGGACGGCCAGCCACACUGGGACUGAGACACGGCCCAGACUCCUACGGGAGGCAGCAGUGGGGAAUUUUGGACAAUGGGGGCAACCCUGAUCCAGCCAUGCCGCGUGAGUGAAGAAGGCCUUCGGGUUGUAAAGCUCUUUCAGCCGGAACGAAACGGUUACGGUUAAUACCCGUGAUUACUGACGGUACCAGAAGAAGAAGCACCGGCUAACUACGUGCCAGCAGCCGCGGUAAUACGUAGGGUGCGAGCGUUAAUCGGAAUUACUGGGCGUAAAGCGUGCGCAGGUGGUUUUGUAAGUCAGAUGUGAAAGCCCCGGGCUCAACCUGGGAACU
rnacentral:rRNA from 1 species